AUCAGAGAGAAGUCUGUCGUUUCACCCUAAAAUCGAGCUAUGACAUUUUGAUUAAGAAUUAUGAGGUCAAAAUUAUGUGUCAUUCACAAUAGGAUCUAUAACAUGCAUUUACAAAAUAGACAGGGUGAAUUUUCAUUUCAUUCCAGUCCAUAACAUGUUGCAGGAUUACUGUGCGGACAUUGUUUGACUGUCAUCCAGAGGGAGGAGUUUCUGCCUUGGCCCUAUCAAAAGGAUUCAAAAUAUCUAGCGACUGUUGGAGCUGGAGCAGCACUGGUCUGAACAUCUAUUAUGUUAAGUGAAAUGUGCUUAACAAAGAUGAUUGCAGUAAAAAGAUCAAAUGAAAUAACAGAAUAUUAUCACAGGCUACAAAUACACUGGUCUGUGUACUUUUUUACUGUGUUUCAGCGAGUGUGUGUUUGGAACUGGACAGAUGAAAGUGAAAGCCCAGAAUGUCAAGUUGACCUCAGUCCAAAAUAUGGUUGCCAGAAUCAAAUACUUUUCAAUCCCUCUGACAACACACAGUUGGUCAGCAACAGCGGCACUCAGGUUCUCUUCUACAACUGGGUAGGAAUUAAUUAUUUAUUUACAUUACUGAUUUACUAGUUUAGUU
rnacentral:lncRNA from 1 species